rnacentral:rRNA from 1 species
GACGAACGCUGGCGGCGUGCUUAGCACAUGCAAGUGGAGCGACGAACCAGGGCUUGCCCUGGGGCAGAGCCGCGAACGGGUGAGUAACACGUGGGUAACGUGCCCCGAUGACUGGGACAACCCGGGGAAACCCGGGCUAAUACCGGAUGUGCCCCCUCACAUCAGUGAGGUGUGUAAAGGAAGCUUCGGCCUCCGCAUCGGGAUCGGCCCGCGGCCCAUUAGCUUGUUGGUGAGGUAACGGCUCACCAAGGCUGCGAUGGGUAGCUGGUCUGAGAGGACGAUCAGCCACACUGGGACUGAGACACGGCCCAGACUCCUACGGGAGGCAGCAGUGGGGAAUCUUGCGCAAUGCGCGAAAGCGUGACGCAGCAACGCCGCGUGGGGGAAGACGGCCUUCGGGUUGUAAACCCCUUUCAGUUGGGACGAAGGUCGGGCGGUUAACAGCCGUUCCGGCUGACGGUACCUUCACAAGAAGCCCCGGCUAACUACGUG